ACAUUUAAUGAUUUAGGGUGAAGGCAAACGAGCGCAAUUUGUGAGUUAUGAGUCGCAGAAUUUCGGUCGCGUAAAUAUCUUUUCAUACAAAUCAUGACUCACAAAAUUACGCUCGUGUGAAUCAAACAGGACUUCUG